GUUCGAUUCUGGCUCAGAUUGAACGCUGGCGGGAUGUUUCUGCAUGCAAGUCGAACGGCAGCACGGACUUCGGUCUGGUGGCGAGUAGCGAACUGGGUGAGUAAUGUAUCGGAACGUGCCUAGUAGCAGAGGAUAACUACGCGAAAGCGGCAACUAAUACCGCAUACGCCCUUCGGGGAAAAGCGGGGACGCCCGAGCUCGCGCACUGUCGACGGCCGAUAUCGGAUUGGCUAGUUGGUGGGGUAACGGCUCACCAAGGCGACGAUCCAUAGCUGGUUUGAAGGACGACCAGCCACUGGGACUGAGAGACGGCCCAGACUCCUACGAGGCAGCAGUGGGGAAUUUUGGACAAUGGAAACCUGAUCCAGCCAUCCGCGUGUGCGAUGAAGGCCUUCGGGUUGUAAAGCACUUUGGCGGGAAAGAAACGGCGGGAUAAUACCCCGUGCAACUGACGGCCGCCUGCACAGAAUAAGCACCGGCUAACUACGUGCCAGCAACUCGCGGUAAUACGUAGGGUGCAAGUGUUAAUCGGAAUUACUGGGCGUAAAGCGUGCGCAGGCAGUUCGGAAAGGAAGAUGUGAAAUCCCAGAGCUUAACUUUGGAACUGCAUUUUUAACUACCGAGCUAGAGUGUGUCAGAGGGAGGUGGAAUUAGCGAUGACAGCAGUGAAAUGCGUAGAUAUGCCCGGAGAACACCGAUGGCGAAGGCAGCCUCCUGGGAUAACACUGACGCUCAUGCACGAAAGCGUGGGGAGCAAACAGGAUUGCAGACCACACUGGUAGUCCGCCUAAACGAUGUCAACUGGCUGUUGGGACUGGGCCUUGGUAGCGCAACUAACGCGUAAAGUUGACCGCCUGGGAGUAGUCGCAAGGAAUUAAAACUCAAAGGAAUUGACGGGGACCCGCACAAGAAAGCGGUGGAUGAUGUGGAUUAAUUCAGUACAACUUUGAAAAACCUUACCUACCCUUGACGUGUCUGGAAUCCCGAAGAGAUUUGGGAGUGCUCGCAAAGAGAACCGGAACACAGGUGCUGCAUGGCUGUCGUCAGCUCGUGUCGUGAGAUGUUGGGUUAAGUCCCACCAACGAGCGCAACCCUUGUCGUGGAUUUGCUGAAAGGGCGCUCUAAUGAGACUGCCGGUGACAAACCGGAGGAAGGUGGGGAUAGCGUCAAGUCCUCAUGGCCCUUAUGGGUAGGGCUUCACACAUCGCACAAUGGUCGGGACAGAGGGUCGCCAACCCCGCGAGGAGAGGAAUGAUCCCAGAAACCCGAUCGUAGUCGGAUCGCAGUCUGCAACUCGACUGCGUGAAGUCGGAAUCGCUAGUAAUCGCGGAUCAAUGUCGCGGUGAAUACGUUCCCGGGUCUUGUACACACCGCCCGUCACACCAGCAGGAGUGGGUUUUACCGAAGUAGUUAGCUAACCGUAAGGAGGGCGAUUACCACAGUAGGGAUUCAUGACUGGGGUGAAGUCGUAACAAGGUAG
rnacentral:rRNA from 1 species